rnacentral:rRNA from 1 species
CACGUAGGGCGCAAGCGUUGUCCGGAAUUAUUGGGCGUAAAGAGCUCGUAGGCGGUCUGUUGCGUCCGCUGUGAAAACUCGGGGCUUAACCCCGAGCCUGCAGUGGAUACGGGCAGACUAGAGGUAGGUAGGGGAGAAUGGAAUUCCCGGUGUAGCGGUGAAAUGCGCAGAUAUCGGGAGGAACACCUGCGGUGUAGACGGUUUACUGGACCAUAACUGACGCUGAGGCACGAAAGCGUGGGUAGCAAACAGG